rnacentral:rRNA from 1 species
CCUACGGGAGGCAGCAGUGAGGAAUAUUGGUCAAUGGCCGAGAGGCUGAACCAGCCAAGUCGCGUGAGGGAAGACGGCCCUACGGGUUGUAAACCUCUUUUGUCGGGGAGCAAAGCGAGUCACGUGUGACUCAUUGAGAGUACCCGAAGAAAAAGCAUCGGCUAACUCAGUGCCAGCAGCCGCGGUAAUACGGAGGAUGCGAGCGUUAUCCGGAUUUAUUGGGUUUAAAGGGUGCGCAGGCGGAGGUGCAAGUCAGCGGUCAAAUUGCGGGGCUCAACCCCGUACUGCCGUUGAAACUGCAGCCCUUGAGUGCGCGAGAAGUAGGCGGAAUGCGUGGUGUAGCGGUGAAAUGCAUAGAUAUCACGCAGAACUCCGAUUGCGAAGGCAGCAUACCGGAGCGCAACUGACGCUCAUGCACGAAAGCGUGGGUAUCGAACAGGAUUAGAUACCCGGGUAGUC